rnacentral:rRNA from 1 species
UACGUAGGUGGCAAGCGUUGUCCGGAUUUAUUGGGUUUAAAGGGUGCGUAGGCGGUUCUAUAAGUCAGUGGUGAAAUCCGGCAGCUCAACUGUCGAUGUGCCAUUGAUACUGCAGAACUUGAGUACAGACGAGGUAGGCGGAAUUGACGGUGUAGCGGUGAAAUGCGUAGAUAUCGGGAGGAACACCUGUGGCGAAAGCGGCGCACUGGACCACAACUGACGCUGAGGCGCGAAAGCUAGGGGAGCAAACAGG